rnacentral:lncRNA from 1 species
AUUUUAAUUUUACUUGGAAGAAAAUAUAUAGGUAUAUGUGUAUAUAUAUCUGUGCUGCAUUCUAAUUUCUAACCCUAAUUUAAAUCAAUAAGCACUUAUUUUUCAUGUACUUAUUCUAUAUUAUUUCUUUAAUUAGUUACUUGUUGUAGAGGGCUCUGGAGCUUUAAAUUUACUUAUGGUUUAUUUAAUUAAUUUUUUGUUUUGGGUUGGUUAAUUCUGCAGAUCUAGAAGGAUCUAGGUAGAUCGACGAUCCAUUUAAUUUGAUCAUGAAGAACUUGCUAGUAAUAUUCUUGUUAGCCUCAGUGCUGAUUUUGGGAAAUUUCCAAGCCAACUCAGAAAAUCGCAACCUUCCAGUUGUUGGUCGUGAAAAUAUUGGGCGAAAGGUGAAUGCUGGUGUGACUGGGUAUAAACUAGGAGGGUCUGAAAAUAAUCACAAAACCAUCAACAAUAUUAACAGUAACAAAGCUGUAGUUAACGAUGAUGAUGAUGAUGAUGAUGAUGAUGAUGAUGGUUGCAAUGACCCUAACAAACCUCACAAACCUCACCACUAUUUUAAUACUAUCAAUCGUCCUACCCCGGAUGAACCCAGACACUAGCUACCUAUAUAUAUAUAUAUAUCUACAAGCUCUUCAUGCAUGGUGAAAUGUUCAACUACUUCUUAAGUUGGUGUGGUUGUUGUAUAUGCUUAAUAAUAUUGUAACUCAUUGAGUUCACAAGGUAGAACUUUUAAGUUUUAUCUGGUGUGUGUGUGUGUGUGUGUUUCCUUCUCUUUUAUAAUGUUCUGUUCGUAUUAUGUAUAUAAUUUUAUGAUGGGUGUUAUGUAUUAAACCUAUCAAUAACUAAAAUGACCAUGCUGGCAGGAGUUGCUUGUAGUUCACAUGCAAGUUGAAUUUUUCAUGAACCCUAAACAACUGAUCAAGAUCUAAUGUACAGUAUAAGUUAAAUAUUAAAGCAUAAUAUAAGC